UACGUAGGUGGCAAGCGUUGUCCGGAAUCACUGGGCGUAAAGCGCGCGCAGGCGGCGAUCUACGUCUGGGGUGAAAGCCCGGAGCUCAACUCCGGGACUGCCUUGGAUACGGGAUCGCUUGAGGAUUGGAGAGGCAAGGGGAAUUCCACGUGUAGCGGUGAAAUGCGUAGAGAUGUGGAGGAACACCAGUGGCGAAAGCGACUUCCUGGACCAAUACUGACGCUCAUGUGCGAAAGCGUGGGGAGCAAACAGG
rnacentral:rRNA from 1 species